CCCUUAGAUGCUCUGGGCCGCACGCGCGCUACACUGGUCGAUGCAACGAGUUUCUUUCCUUGGCCGACAGGCCUGGGCAAUCUUUGAACAUCGAUCAUGAUCGGGAUAGAUUCUUGUAAUUUUUGAUCUUAAACGAGGAAUUCCUAGUAAACGCAAGUCAUCAGCUUGCAUUGAUUACGUCCCUGCCCUUUGUACACACCGCCCGUCGCACCUACCGAUUGAAUGGUCCGGUGAAAUCUCCGGACUGGCGUGAGUCGGAGCAAUCUGACAAACGCCGGAAAGUUGAUUAAACCUUACCAUUUAGAGGAAGGUGAAGUCGUAACA
rnacentral:rRNA from 1 species